GGUCUUGUGGUCUAGUGGUAUGAUUCUCGCUUAGGGUUCACUCUAAGUUUAUAGCUUGCGAGAGGCCCCGCGUUCGAGUCGCGGCAAGACCC
rnacentral:tRNA from 1 species